UCCAGCCUCGGGGAAGGGGUGAUGGAUCCCGAGUGGAUGCCCAGGCACCCCUUUCUGAACUUGUUGGCCCGGGGAGGCUGUUUGUGAGUCUUCCACCCAGAGGGUCGUCUUCUUCUAGUUCCCAGCAGGUCUGCUGCCUUCUGCAAAUGACCACACAAUCCUUCUGCUCCCGAACUGUCGGCAAUGAGUGCCCUGGGCUGCUUGCCACCCGAGCGGGAAUCUUCCCCUUGACCCUCCACUCUGGGUGUGCACAUUUUCACAAGGGCCCUUUGUGGUAGUCCUUCAAAUGACCUUGAAUAACACUGCCCCCUGCACCCUUUCUGGCUGCCACAGGAAGAGGCAUGGCCAUUCUGAAUCCAGGACCUUGAAACCAGUUUAGACUCAGCAGGGAAAGUAAACAGAGGGGUGAGGUGUCUGCCCUUGAGUUCUCGCGGUUAUUAUGCACCCGGCUCUGGCGGUCGUGGGUGAAGCCUUCAGGACUUGGGUGUGCAGUAGUCGGUCAACUGAUUAAACAAGAGGGCUUUAUGGGGCCCCACACAAGGGCCCGUGUCUCCUAGGCCUAUUAUACGGAGGGAAAAACUGAGUGACCACAGAGAACUUGCACUUGACUGGAGCCAAACACGACCUGGGCUGCCCCACAGGUCCUUCUGGAUCUGAAUUAUGGAGCCUUCUUGCUGCCCCCAGCAAAGGAAAACUGUCUCCUGUGAAAUGGAAGAAUUGCAUGGAGUCCACCCUGAUGUCCACGGGCCCUUUGAGGGGACUUCAUUCUGCCCUGGCCUUCCCUCUCGUCUGGUACCAUCUGGGGCCCCAUCAGGGAGACUGAAGGAAUGAAAGUGCAGGCACGGUGACAAGGGCUCGUGUCAGGGAGCAGGCUGCCGAGUCAGCUGCGUGUGGAGAGCUGAUGUGCCGUCUUCACCGUGGAGUCGAGGCUGGCUUCUGACUCAGAGGGGCCUCCUGACGACGAUUUCCCUGAGUUUCAGAAAGACACGGAGCAGCUCCUAGAAGCUGGGAGGGACCCUUGUCAACAUCUAGCCUA